AUACGUAGGUGGCAAGCGUUAUCCGGAAUUAUUGGGCGUAAAGAGGGAGCAGGCGGCAGCAAGGGUCUGUGGUGAAAGCCUGAAGCUUAACUUCAGUAAGCCAUAGAAACCAGGCAGCUAGAGUGCAGGAGAGGAUCGUGGAAUUCCAUGUGUAGCGGUGUAAUGCGUAGAUAUAUGGAGGAACACCAGUGGCGAAGGCGACGAUCUGGCCUGCAACUGACGCUCAGUCCCGAAAGCGUGGGGAGCAAAUAGGAUUUGAUACCCUAGUAGUCCACGCCGUAAACGAUGAGUACUAAGUGUUGGAUGUCAAAGUUCAGUGCUGCAGUUAACGCAAUAAGUACUCCGCCUGAGUAGUACGUUCGCAAGAAUGAAACUCAAAUGAAUUGACGGGG
rnacentral:rRNA from 1 species